rnacentral:rRNA from 1 species
CACGUAGGGCGCAAGCGUUGUCCGGAAUUAUUGGGCGUAAAGAGCUCGUAGGCGGUCUGUUGCGUCCGCUGUGAAAACUCGGGGCUUAACCCCGAGCCUGCAGUGGAUACGGGGCAGACUAGAGGUAGGUAGGGGGAGAAUGGAAUUCCCGGUGUAGCGGUGAAAUGCGCAGAUAUCAGGAAGAACACCCGUGGCGAAAGCGGCUCACUGGACCAUAACUGACGCUGAGGCACGAAAGCGUGGGGAGCAAACAGG